UGUGCAUGUGUGUGUGUGUGGGUGUGUGUGAGUCUGUGUGUGGAAAUGGCUUUUAACCAGAUUGAAUUUGACCCUAGAUUAGAACUUCCUUUUUCAUCUUUAGUAGCAGGGCCUUCAGGUUGUGGCAAGACUUUCUUUGUAAAAAAUGUAAUGGAAAAUCCUGAACAUGUUAUGAGAAAAAAACCUGAUAAUAUUGUCUGGGUUUAUACUUCAUAUCAACCAAUGUACGAUGAGCUCAAAAACCUGAAUAAAGACAUAAUUUUUAUCAAG